rnacentral:lncRNA from 1 species
UCUAUUUGGUGUACAGGACACUUCUGGGGAAGUACAUUCCCUUCCUCGAUCUUUGGAGCAGCAGAUCCUUCCAGUGUGGACUGGAGGCCUCUGAACUAGGAGAAAUUGAGGAGCAACACAAAAUCCGAUUGCCACGGCAGGUGAUCUGCUUCACAUCAAAAUGCAGCAGGCUGGUGUAUUACAUGGCUGUGAUGUUUUUUUUUUUUUUUGAUAUGAAUCAACAUACACUGCAGAUUUGGGAGCUGUAUCGAUGGAGGAAUGGCCAGAACAUCAAUUAUAGGAGGGCACAAUUUGCCAAUGGAACCCGGCUGCUCAGUUGCGAUCCUGCGCUCACCCCAGUCAGAGUUUGUUGACCUGCACAGAUGGACUCAGACAAUGACAAUGCCUGACAUCAUCUUGUGGGAGAGUGAUCUGUAAGCACUAUUUGUUGUUGCACCAGGUCUCCAGGAAAUGUUGCAAGGCUAUGCGGAAGCGUUGAAAGUCCAGAGGCAAACAAUGAACAAGGACAAAUUUGACGAGGACGACGCAUGCUUUCCCCUGACAGAGGACCUUCCAGGAAAGCAAUACUGGUUUGAUCAGAAGGGC